rnacentral:rRNA from 1 species
AUUGAACGCUGGCGGCAGGCCUAACACAUGCAAGUCGAGCGAGCGGCGGACGGGUGAGUAAUGUCUGGACAACUGCCUGAUCGAGGGGGAUAACUACUGGAAACGGUAGCUAAUCCUGCAUACCAUCAGAUGUGCCCAGGUGGGAUUAGCUAGUAGGUGGGGUAAUGGCUCACCUAGGCGACGAGCCCUAGCUGGUCUGAGAGGAUGACCAGCCACACUGGAACUGAGACACGGUCCAGACUCCUACGGGAGGCAGCAGUGGGGAAUAUUGCGCAAUGGGAGCAAGCCUGAUGCAGCCAUGCCGCGUGAGUGAAGAAGGCCUUCGGGUUGUAAAGCACUGUCAGUGAGGAGGCGGUACUCGCAGAAGAAGCACCGGCUAACUCCGUGCCAGCCGCCGCGGUAAUAC